AUGGGUGUUUUGUUCAAAAUUCUAAGAAGGGGCAAAGAUGGCAAUUUUAAAAGUUCUAUUUUCAUGUGUAGUGUGUGUGAUUGCAUGUGUUUCUGUAUAUCAUGUGCUUGCCUGAUACCCAUGAAGGCAAGAAUAUGGCAUUUCAUCUUCUGGAACUGUAUUUGGCGAUGGUUGAGAACCAGCUUGUGAGUACUUUGUACUGAAUUUGGGUCCUCUACAAGAACAGCCCGUGCCCUUAACCAAUGAUCCAUAUCUCUAACUCUAAGAAGGAAUUCUUGGUGAUUGUUUAUUUUUGUAGAAAUGUAGUCAAUUCUUUGCCAUGUCUGCUCACAGAUUAUGGUCAACAUACUUAACAACUUUGAUUAUACUAUUAUAUGUUUAAGUUCCUUUUAAUUUCUGUGAACUGUUUAACAAUUCAAAGAACAAUUUUAUUUUGUAGAUCAUGUAGGUGGAGAAACUGAUGGCGAGAAAGGCAUAUACUUGUGUAUGGUAUUCAACUACCAACUGAACUUCUGUUUUGAAUAGAGAUCUUUAAAUCAAUAGUUUGUUAUCAGUCAGAAAGUUAUGCAUGUAUAAUUUUUUUAUUUCGAAUAUGUUCCUGCACAGAAAGAGCCAUGGAGUAGAUGCAUAAUUCCUAACAUAAGGCAUAUGCACGUUGAAAUGAGAUAAAUAGAAUUAUCUUUCUUAUGCUGUGUUAUUCGACUCUGUAUUUAUUAGCAUUUAAGUUGUAAUAAAAUUCACACUUGAGAAUGAAGUGGAUUUAAGUUAAUGAUACUAAAAUAAAAAAAUACUCAAUGAUGGAUUUACCUCUUAUUUUAGAAAUUUUAGGCUGUGAAAAAACAGAACAAUAGCAGAAAUGUAGUAUUUCUAAGCUGUCCACUCUCUUAACUAAAGGUAGAAAUUAAUAUUAAACAUUAGGUUCUGUCAAAAUAAGGGCCUGGCAACUUGCUGAAAAUUUGCUACAAGUUCUGCAGCAUUUUUAAUCCUCUAGAUUUAAUGCAAAUGCUCGUGAUUCAUGUCUUCACUAAUUUUGUGGUUUAGGUUUCUAUGGAUUAAAUGUCUUUAUAAA
rnacentral:lncRNA from 1 species